rnacentral:siRNA from 1 species
CGGACCCACGUUGGUCUUGGGUGG